CUCUCUUCCUCCUGAGAGGAUGGGAGGCCCCAGACACCCACAGGGACUGUCCCACCAAACCUCUAGACAACAAGUGUUCCCAGAUCACAUAUUUGGCUAAGUGUCUAAUUUUACAUUGGAUGACACCGGGAAACAGUAAGUGAAGAGAAGCUCCAGGCAGAGCACGGAUCGGAGGUCAGCAUCUCUGUGGACUCCCGGAUGAGCAGCUGCAGUUGGGGUGGGGUUGGUGGGUAACCUCC
rnacentral:lncRNA from 1 species